UGUAAUUUUUUUGGUCCUCGUACCGACUACCUUUACUAGAGCCAAUUGUUCUUUGGGUAGGAAAGUUAACGCUUUUUUUGUAAGCUUCGGCUCUACAGCGAUUUAUUCGCAUAUUGUUCUGUAUGGAAUACGGAUAAUGACUAUUUUCUAUACAAAAGUCUUGACCAAAACACGUGCCAGCAGUCGCGGCAACACGGGGCAGACAGGUGUUAUUCAUCUUUAAUAGGUAUAAAGGGUACCUAGACAGCUAUAUUUAACUCCCUUCAUAAUUUUGGAUCAGUACAAUUUAGCUAGAGUUUUAUGUGAUAGGAAUUUAGUACUAUCUGUGUAAAGAUGAAAUUUUUUGAUACAGUAGGGCACUGAUAACGGCGAAGGCAGACCUUUAUGUAAAAACUGACGUUGAGGGACGAAGGCUUGGGUAACAAACAGGAUUAGAUACCCUAAUAGUCCUUGCAGAGAAUAAUGAGUGUUAUAGAUUAGUUAUAUUUGGUCUAUAAAUGAAAGUGUAUACACUCCACCUUAAGAGUAAAGUGGCAACACUGGAACUAAAAUCAUUAGACCGUUUCUGAUACCAGUAGUGAAGUAUGUUGUUUAAUUCGAUGACCCACGAAAAACCUUACCAUAAUUUGAAUAUUUUACCAUUAUAAGAUAAAUUAUAUUAUUUUAUUUUAUAAUUUAAAUGGUAUUAAUACAGGUGUUGCAUGGCUGUCUUCAGUUGAUGUCGUGAGACGUAGGUUAGAUCCAUAAAUCAACGUGUAACCCUUGCUCUAUUUUUUUUUUAUAUAGAGUAGAUUCCCCGAUAAAUGGAAUAGAUAACUGG
rnacentral:rRNA from 1 species